rnacentral:misc_RNA from 1 species
AAUCUCAAUCCUCGCUUGGUAUUGGGCAUCGCGGUCCGCCGCGUGCCUCAAAUCGACCGGCUGGGUCUUCUGUCCCCUAAGCGUUGUGGAAACUAUUCGCUAAAGGGUGUUCGGGAGGCUACGCCGUAAAACAACCCCAUUUCUAA